GGGUUGUGAGGUUAAGCGACUAAGCGUACACGGUGGAUGCCCUGGCAGUCAGAGGCGAUGAAGGACGUGCUAAUCUGCGAUAAGCGCCGGUAAGGUGAUAUGAACCGUUAUAACCGGCGAUUUCCGAAUGGGGAAACCCAGUGUGACUCGUCACACUAUCAUUAACUGAAUCCAUAGGUUAAUGAGGCGAACCGGGGGAACUGAAACAUCUAAGUACCCCGAGGAAAAGAAAUCAACCGAGAUUCCCCCAGUAGCAGCGAGCGAACGGGGAGGAGCCCAGAGCCUGAAUCAGCAUGUGUGUUAGUGGAAGCGUCUGGAAAGGCGCGCGAUACAGGGUGACAGCCCCGUACACAAAAGCGCAUGUGUUGUGAGCUCGAUGAGUAGGGCGGGACACGUGGUAUCCUGUCUGAAUAUGGGGGGACCAUCCUCCAAGGCUAAAUACUCCUGACUGACCGAUAGUGAACCAGUACCGUGAGGGAAAGGCGAAAAGAACCCCGGCGAGGGGAGUGAAAAAGAACCUGAAACCGUGUACGUACAAGCAGUGGGAGCCCCACCACUAAGCCAGUGGUGAACUCCACAUACGCAUCCUUUGCUGAAGGUGCGGUUAACGGAGCGCAAGCGACGUUCAACCUCAAAAGAAGCAGAGGGGGCUUAGUGGUGGGGUGACUGCGUACCUUUUGUAUAAUGGGUCAGCGACUUAUAUUCUGUAGCA
rnacentral:rRNA from 1 species